rnacentral:rRNA from 1 species
AGCGAACGCUGGCGGCAGGCCUAACACAUGCAAGUCGAACGAACUCUUCGGAGUUAGUGGCGGACGGGUGAGUAACACGUGGGAACGUGCCUUUAGGUUCGGAAUAACUCAGGGAAACUUGUGCUAAUACCGAAUGUGCCCUUCGGGGGAAAGAUUUAUCGCCUUUAGAGCGGCCCGCGUCUGAUUAGCUAGUUGGUAGUGUAAUGGACUACCAAGGCUACGAUCAGUAGCUGGUCUGAGAGGAUGAUCAGCCACAUUGGGACUGAGACACGGCCCAAACUCCUACGGGAGGCAGCAGUGGGGAAUCGUGCGCAAUGGGCGAAAGCCUGACGCAGCCAUGCCGCGUGAAUGAUGAAGGUCUUAGGAUUGUAAAAUUCUUUCACCGGGGACGAUAAUGACGGUACCCGGAGAAGAAGCCCCGGCUAACUUCGUGCCAGCAGCCGCCGUAAUAC